AGUGAACGCUGGCGGUAGGCCUAACACAUGCAAGUCGAACGGCAGCACAGUAAGAGCUUGCUCUUACGGGUGGCGAGUGGCGGACAGGUGAGGAAUACAUCGGAAUCUACUUUUUCGUGGGGGAUAACGUAGGGAAACUUACGCUAAUACCGCAUACGACCUACGGGUGAAAGCAGGGGAUCUUCGGACCUUGCGCGAUUGAAUGAGCCGAUGUCGGAUUAGCUAGUUGGCGGGGUAAAGGCCCACCAAGGCGACGAUCCGUAGCUGGUCUGAGAGGAUGAUCAGCCACCCUGGAACUGAGACACGGUCCAGACUCCUACGGGAGGCAGCAGUGGGGAAUAUUGGACAAUGGGCGCAAGCCUGAUCCAGCCAUACCGCGUGGGUGAAGAAGGCCUUCGGGUUGUAAAGCCCUUUUGUUGGGAAAGAAAAGCAGCAGGUUAAUACCCCGCUGUUCUGACGGUACCCAAAGAAUAAGCACCGGCUAACUUCGUG
rnacentral:rRNA from 1 species